rnacentral:rRNA from 1 species
AGAGCGAACGCUGGCGGCAUGCUUAACACAUGCAAGUCUCACGGGCAGCAGUGUCAGUGGCGGACGGGUGAGUAACGCGUAGGUAUCUAUCCAUGGGUGGGGGAUAACGUCGGGAAACUGACGCUAAUACCGCAUGACAUCUGAGGAUCAAAGGCGCGAGUCGCCUGUGGAGGAGCCUGCGUACGAUUAGCUAGUUGGUGGGGUAAAGGCCUACCAAGGCUACGAUCGUUAGCUGGUCUGAGAGGAUGAUCAGCCACACUGGGACUGAGACACGGCCCAGACUCCUACGGGAGGCAGCAGUGGGGGAAUAUUGGACAAUGGGCGAAAGCCUGAUCCAGCAAUGCCGCGUGUGUGAAGAAGGUCUUCGGAUUGUAAAGCACUUUCGGCGGGGUACGAUGAUGACGGUACCCGCAGAAGAAGCCCCGGCUAACUUCGCGCCAGCAGCCGCGGUAA